GUAAAUAAUAAUUAUCAUAAUCUUUUGAUUGUGGAAUUGGGCUUUUAUUUCAUUAAUGAUUUAUGGCCUCAAAUUUACGUUACCGCUUGUUUAAUAUGAAAUUCGACCGAAUGGAGCAAUUAAACAUUCUCUCGUUAGGCGGAUUCAUCAAGCAGUUACGAUUUUUUGGCCGUCGAAGGACUUUUUACAAGUUCUUGGCCGAGAUCGUGAGUUUUUUUAAC
rnacentral:misc_RNA from 1 species